ACAGCCCACAAAUUCCACCUGCUCACAGGUUGGCUGGCUCAUCCAAGGCGGUAUCCCCUGCUCUGAGCAUCCAGGCCGAGUCCACCCAGCACCAUGGCCAGAUACCGAUGCUGCCUCACCCAUAGCCGGAGCAGAUGCCGCCGCCGCCGCCGAAGAAGAUGUCGCAGACGAAGGAGGCGCUUUGGUCGGAGGCGCAGGAGGAGAGUGUGCUGCCGCCGCUACACCGUUGUAAGGUGUACAAGACAGUAACCGCACAGUAGCAAGACCACCGCACUCCUGCCUGAAAGAUUACCAGCCUUCAAGGCCCUCUUGCCACAUCUUGAACAUGCCACCGUUCCAAUGACAUGAACAGGAGCCUGCUGACGAACAAUGCCACCUGUCAAUAAAUGUUGGAAGACAU